GGAUGCGAUCAUACCAGCACUAAAGCACCGGAUCCCAUCAGAACUCCGAAGUUAAGCGUGCUUUGGCGAGAGUAGUACUAGGAUGGUGACACCUCCUGGGAAGUCCUCGUGUUGCAUUCC
rnacentral:rRNA from 1 species